rnacentral:rRNA from 1 species
UACGGAGGGUGCAAGCGUUAAUCGGAAUUACUGGGCGUAAAGCGCACGCAGGCGGCUUGUUAAGUCAGAUGUGAAAGCCCCGGGCUCAACCUGGGAACUGCAUUUGAAACUGACAAGCUAGAGUCUUGUAGAGGGGGGUAGAAUUCCAGGUGUAGCGGUGAAAUGCGUAGAGAUCUGGAGGAAUACCGGUGGCGAAGGCGGCCCCCUGGACAGAGACUGACGCUCAGGUGCGAAAGCGUGGGGAGCUAACAGG